UCUGGCUUUAUAGCGAGAGUUAGGAGGACAUGUAGAGAAUGAUAGAAGGUUAGCAUCCUCUGGCUUUAUAGCGAGAGUUAGGAGGACAUGUAGAGAAUGAUAGAAGGUUAGCGGCCUCUGGCUUUAUAGCGAGAGUUAGGAGGACAUGUAGAGAACGAUAGAAGGUUAGCGGCCUCUGGCUUUAUAGCGAGAGUUAGGAGGACAUGUAGAGAAUGAUAGAAGGUUAGCGUCCUCUAGCCUUAUAGCGAGAGUUAGGAGGACAUGUAGAGAAUGAUAGAAGGUUAGCGUCCUAUAGCCUUAUAGCGAGUUAGGAGGACAUGUAGAGAAUGAUAGAAGGUUAGCAUCCUCUGGCUUUAUAGCGAGAGUUAGGAGGACAUGUAGAGAAUGAUAGAAGGUUAGCGUCCUCUGGCUUUAUAGUGAGAGUUAGGAGGACAUGUAGAGAACGAUAGAAGGUUAGGAGGACAUGUAGAGAACUAUAGAAGGUUAGCAUCCUCUGGCUUUAUAGCGAGAGUUAGGAGGACAUGUAGAGAAUGAUAGA
ensembl:lncRNA